UACGUAGGGCGCGAGCGUUGUCCGGAAUUAUUGGGCGUAAAGAGCUCGUAGGUGGCUUGUCGCGUCUGCCGUGAAAGCCCGGGGCUUAACUCCGGGUCUGCAUUCGAUACGGGCAGGCUAGAGUGUGGUAGGGGAGAUCGGAAUUCCUGGUGUAGCGGUGAAAUGCGCAGAUAUCAGGAGGAACACCGGUGGCGAAGGCGGAUCUCUGGGCCAUUACUGACGCUGAGGAGCGAAAGCGUGGGGAGCGAACAGG
rnacentral:rRNA from 1 species